rnacentral:hammerhead_ribozyme from 1 species
AUCGAUCUGACGAGUCCCAACUAGGACGAAACACGCGUCCUGGAU